rnacentral:rRNA from 1 species
GAUGAACGCUGACAGAAUGCUUAACACAUGCAAGUCAACUGUGGCGGACGGGUGCGUAACGCGUAAAGAACUUGCCUCACAGUUAGGGACCACAUUUGGAAACGAAUGCUAAUACCUGAUACUGUGAGAGAGCUUUGCGUCCCAUUAGCUAGUUGGAUAGGUAACGGCUCACCAAGGCGAUGAUGGGUAGCCGGCCUGCGAGGGUGAUCGGCCACAAGGGGCCUGGGACACGGCCCUUACUCCUACGUGAGGCAGGAGUGUGGAAUAUUGGACAAUGGACCAAAGUCUGAUCAAGCAAUUCUGUGUGCACGAUGAAGUUUGCGGAAUGUAAAGUGCUUUCAGUUGGGAAGCGGUACCAACAGAAGAAGUGACGGCUAAAUACGUGCCAGCAGCCGCGGUAAUAC